AUUUAAAUAGUUUAAUAAAAAUUAAAGUUUGUGGAACUUUAGAUGUAGGUUGUUACUUUAAAUA
rnacentral:tRNA from 1 species